UACGUAGGGGGCAAGCGUUGUCCGGAAUUCAUUGGGUCGUAAAGAGCGUGUAGGCGGCCAGAUAAGUCCGCUGUGAAAACUCGAGGCUCAACUUCGAGCUGUCGGUGGAAACUAUUUGGCUAGAGUCCGGAAGAGGAGAGUGGAAUUCCUGGUGUAGCGGUGAAAUGCGCAGAUAUCAGGAAGAACACCCGUGGCGAAGGCGGCUCUCUGGUACGGAACUGACGCUGAGACGCGAAAGCGUGGGGAGCGAACAGG
rnacentral:rRNA from 1 species